AUUGAACGCUGGCGGCAGGCCUAACACAUGCAAGUCGAGCGGAUGAAGGGAGCUUGCUCCUGGAUUCAGCGGCGGACGGGUGAGUAAUGCCUAGGAAUCUGCCUGGUAGUGGGGGAGAACGUCCGGAAACGGGCGCUAAUACCGCAUACGUCCUGAGGGAGAAAGUGGGGGAGCUUCGGACCUCACGCUAUCAGAGGAGCCUAGGUCGGAUUAGCUAGUUGGUGGGGUAAAGGCCUACCAAGGCGACGAUCCGUAACUGGUCUGAGAGGAUGAUCAGUCACACUGGAACUGAGACACGGUCCAGACUCCUACGGGAGGCAGCAGUGGGGAAUAUUGGACAAUGGGCGAAAGCCUGAUCCAGCCAUGCCGCGUGUGUGAAGAAGGUCUUCGGAUUGUAAAGCACUUUAAGUUGGGAGGAAGGGCAGUAAGUUAAUACCUUGCUGUUUUGACGUUACCGACAGAAUAAGCACCGGCUAACUUCGUG
rnacentral:rRNA from 1 species